UACGGGGGGAGCAAGCGUUGUUCGGAUUUACUGGGCGUAAAGGGCGCGUAGGCGGUCGUGACAAGUCACUUGUGAAAUCUCCGGGCUUAACUCGGAACGGUCAAGUGAUACUGUCGGACUAGAGUGCAGAAGGGGCAACUGGAAUUCCUGGUGUAGCGGUGGAAUGCGUAGAUAUCGGGAGGAACACCAGUGGCGAAGGCGGUUGCCUGGAGCUUUGCUGACGCUGAUGCGCGAAAGCGUGGGGAGCGAUCCGG
rnacentral:rRNA from 1 species